CACCGGCAGCCACUCUGUCUCCUAGAGUUCCAUCACUGUACUUGCUUCACUGUCCUACAAAGCUCUGCUGUUGUGACUUAGCGCCACGAAGGGAACAUCUACAUGAUCUUACACGGAAUGGGACAAAGAGCUCCAGCAACAACACAAAGGAAGGAAUACAGAAUGGGAUCGGGGACAUGAAACACAUAGGCAAGGAUUUCUGAAUACUUGGGAGGAGUACCCCAAACGAGGAAGAGCCUCAUUCUUCAAGAAGGACAAAUAAGCAGUGUUCUAGAGAAAGAAGGUUUAAGGAAAAUGAAAACAGCCAUGGCACGCAUAUGAACACCAUCACUGUGUCCUUCACUUGGGGGAUGAAGAUGACAUCAUGGCCCCAGAGGAUGGACGUACAGCUUGUGAACAAGGGACAAUAGGUGAGAUUCUCACCAUUUAUAAAACACCCAAUAAGAGCCAAAGGACCGGUCCAAAUCUCACCCCAAAAAAGCAGCUGGUAAAUGGCUAUGAGGAUCCAAAAUCACAGUGUAACGAAGGGAAAAAUAAAUGAGAAGGCUGCUGUAUUUUAACCCUUAUACUUCUGAAUCAGUUUUGAAAUUCUGCCUCCUCCCUUUCAGCCUCUAUAGACAGGCUGGCUUUGACGUGACCAUAUAACCGAGAAUGGCCCUGAACCCCUGAUGGUCCUACCUCACCUCUAAGUGAUGAGAUAGCAGGCAUCCACACCCCUGGCUUCUGAAUCCUUCUUUGAGUACACAAAGGUAGAGAGCUGUAGUGAGACUGAAAUCUGAGCCCGCGUCGACUAGUAGCAUUACCAACAAUUUAAACUAAAUGGACAGUGUUGCUGACUUUGUUUUCAAGACUACGAAUAUAUAUUCAUUUCAUAGUUGAAAAUUCCUAUUUUCUGAUUGACUCCCUGUUCUGACAAAUUAUCUUUUAAAAAUAUUUACUUUCAUUUUUAACUGUUAGUGCAGAUACCUGCUAAGGCCAAAGGUUGGAUGCCUUGGAGCUAGAAUUACAGACAGGUGUGAGUCACCUGAUAUGGACGGUAGGAACUGAACUCAGGGCCCCUGCAAGAGCAGCAGAUGUUCUUUCUGGUGUUGUUGUUAGCAUAGUAUAUACGUAUUUUGAUUAUUUGGGAAUUUCACAGAAUGCACCCAA